AACGAACGCUGGCGGCAGGCCUAACACAUGCAAGUCGAGCGAAGCCUUCGGGCUUAGCGGCGGACGGGUGAGUAGCGCGUGGGAACGUGCCCUUUGGUACGGAAUAGCCCCGGGAAACUGGGAGUAAUACCGUAUGUGGUCGAGAGACGAAAGAUUUAUCGCCAAAGGAUCGGCCCGCGUUGGAUUAGGUAGUUGGUGGGGUAAUGGCCUACCAAGCCGACGAUCCAUAGCUGGUUUGAGAGGAUGAUCAGCCACACUGGGACUGAGACACGGCCCAGACUCCUACGGGAGGCAGCAGUGGGGAAUCUUAGACAAUGGGGAAACCCUGAUCUAGCCAUGCCGCGUGAUCGAUGAGGGCCUUAGGGUUGUAAAGAUCUUUCAGUGGGGAAGGUAAUGACUGUACCCACAGAAGAAGCCCCGGCUAACUCCGUGCCAGCAGCCGCCGUAACAC
rnacentral:rRNA from 1 species